UACGAAGGGGGCUAGCGUUGUUCGGAAUUACUGGGCGUAAAGGGCGCGUAGGCGGUGUGUCAAGUCAGGCGUGAAAGCCCCGGGCUCAACCUGGGAACCGCGCUUGAGACUGGCACGCUCGAGUUCGGGAGAGGAUGGUGGAAUUCCCAGUGUAGAGGUGAAAUUCGUAGAUAUUGGGAAGAACACCGGUGGCGAAGGCGGCCAUCUGGACGGAUACUGACGCUGAGACGCGAAAGCGUGGGGAGCGAACAGG
rnacentral:rRNA from 1 species